GAUGAACGCUGGCGGCGUGCCUAAUACAUGCAAGUCGAGCGAACAGACGAGGAGCUUGCUCCUCUGACGUUAGCGGCGGACGGGUGAGUAACACGUGGAUAACCUACCUAUAAGACUGGGAUAACUUCGGGAAACCGGAGCUAAUACCGGAUAAUAUAUUGAACCGCAUGGUUCAAUAGUGAAAGACGGUUUUGCUGUCACUUAUAGAUGGAUCCGCGCCGCAUUGGCUAGUUGGUAAGGUAACGGCUUACCAAGGCAACCAUGCGUAGCCGACCGGAGAGGGUGAUCGGCCACAUGGGAAGGGGGACACGGUCAAGACUCCUACGGGAGGCAGCAGUAGGGAAUCUUCGGCAAAGGGCGAAAGCCUGACGGAGCAACGCCGCGUGAGUGAUGAAGGUCUUCGGAUCGUAAAACUCUGUUAUUAGGGAAGAACAAAUGUGUAAGUAACUAUGCACGUCUUGACGGUACCUAAUCAGAAAGCCACGGCUAACUACGUG
rnacentral:rRNA from 1 species